rnacentral:rRNA from 1 species
UUGCACGCUGGCGGCAUGCUUUACACAUGCAAGUCGAACGGCAGCGCGGGGCAACCUGGCGGCGAGUGGCGAACGGGUGAGUAAUAUAUCGGAACGUACCCAGAAGUGGGGGAUAACGUAGCGAAAGUUACGCUAAUACCGCAUACGAUCUACGGAUGAAAGUAGGGGACCGCAAGGCCUUAUGCUUUUGGAGCGGCCGAUAUCUGAUUAGCUAGUUGGUGAGGUAAAGGCUCACCAAGGCGACGAUCAGUAGCUGGUCUGAGAGGACGACCAGCCACACUGGAACUGAGACACGGUCCAGACUCCUACGGGAGGCAGCAGUGGGGAAUUUUGGACAAUGGGCGCAAGCCUGAUCCAGCAAUGCCGCGUGAGUGAAGAAGGCCUUCGGGUUGUAAAGCUCUUUUGUCAGGGAAGAAACGGUAGAGGCUAAUAUCCUUUGCUAAUGACGGUACCUGAAGAAUAAGCACCGGCUAACUACGUG